CUGCGAGUGCGCUGAGAGAAACGGAGCCAGGCAGACAGAGGAGAGUUGAAGUUUGACCAGGAUGGUGCAUUUUUGGUACGAGACUGCUCCACCAACAGCAACUUUGAACCUUUGGUAUCUUUGUGUAUCAUGAGAAGAAGGUUAACAACGUCAAAAUUCGGUUUGUCGAGAGCACAAAAAAGUACGCACUGGGCACAGGAUAUCGUUCAAAUGAUAUGUUUGACUCUGUGGCGGACAUCAUCAAGUUCCACUCCAUAUUUCCAAUAACACUUGUCAGUGGGAGAACCGCGUUGGGAAACAAGUACCCAGACAACUGUGUGCUGACAUUUCCUAUAACAAAAGGGGAUGUUGAACGGUUGCUACAAUAACAUGUGAACCUUGCCAAAAAAGAUUUGUCAAUGUGUUUCUUGUGUCAUGUGUGUUCACAGUUCCACAAAAACUGUAGCGCUGUCAUUCUGAGCAAUUUGGGGUGGAUGGAUUUUGUAAAAGAAAAAUAUAUAUGUUGAUCAGAAGUACCUAUAUCUUCUGGUUAUUUUGAUAAUAAUGUGCUAAUGGUUUUUAAAUUAAUUACAUAGACAAGUGGUUCUCAAAUUCUUUGGGUCCAGUGACACAAAAUCUCCUAUAAUCCUAAUAUCGAUUUGGCUGGUUCUGCCACAGCAUUCGAAAAUCUCCCCACACCUGCUAGCUACCAGGCUAAUAAACUAGCAAGUGAUUUCAUUGUUGCAGUGAGUCACAAUCAUAGCAGUUCCUCCUGUUCCUCCAUAAUGUGGUAGCAAUUACUGGAUAUAAUAUGUUUUUGUUAUUGAAUCAAAUUGUCCUCAAUCUGUAAAAUGCACUUUUUAAUGAUCUAGCGCAAUUUAAUGAAUUAUUUUACAGAUCCCUUGAGGGUCCCCGGACCCGAUUAGAGACCCACUUCUCUCUGACAGAUAAUAGUGAUCUACCCUAAUUAUCCUAAUUUAAUGUCUUCAAAUUGUAUAUUUUGUAGGAACAAUCUAAAAUAAAAAGUCUGUAACUGUACAAUUAUACAAACCAAA